rnacentral:lncRNA from 1 species
CGGAAUUGAAAGCCAACACAGCCCGAUAUCGGGAUGUCACCAGUCAUGAGCAUCUAAAACAAUACUACAAGUCUGAAAGUCUACUCUACUACUAAAUAACUGAAUCAGAAAAGAAAUAAGAUAGAGGGAGGUUGCCCUGGGCUGAGAAUCGCCAAGCAGCUACCUAGUAAACCUCCGAAGAUCUGAUGGAACUAUCAACCCUCAGUAGCAGGACCUGAAACGCCCGAAUCUGCACACAGAGGUGCAUGGAGUAAAGUCAGUACUUCCAACUCAGUGAGUAAUAAGAAUAAAUGAAGACUGAACGAUAUAAAAUCACGUUAAACACAACAUUUAGCUAUCAGAGGCAUAACAAAAUCAGUAACACAAUUUAACAAUUGAAAUCUCAUAAAAACUACAUUUUUAAGCAGUCAACAAUAGAUAGUAAAAACAACUAGGAAUGGUAAAUACAUAAGAACUGCCCCUCGGGCACAAUAACAUCAAAUCAGCCCCCCAGGCAAUAUCACAGAACAAUACCAGCCCCCCGGGCUAUAUCUCAUGUCACAAUGGGUACCCGCACUCACUGGGGGUGUGCAGACUCCUGGAGGGGCCGCUUACGGCCCAAGCACAAUAUCAAGCCAUCUUGUGGCAUCAUAAACAGGUACUCGGCCUCAUAUCAAUAUCAAGUCACCUCGUGGCGUACAAUCCCAGGCCCUCGGCCUCAUUAUCAUAAUUAGUGUAUCACUUCUGCGGCGUGCAGCCCGACCCAAAAGUAUCCUCACAAUACAGGCCCUCGGCCUUACUCAACUCAAAAUAUCUUUAAAACAUCAUUUAAGGUUUCUAAAACUGAUUAACAUAACUGAGUUUUGAAAACAUUGAAAGAUCUAGCAUGACUGUGCACAAGUAUGAAAUCAAACAGUGAGGAAAAUAUCAUUAACGNNNNNNNNNNNNNNNNNNNNNNNNNNNNNNNNNNNNNNNNNNNNNNNNNNNNNNCCCAAUGGUGCACGACCCCACGCUCGUCAUCUAGCGUGUGCGUCACCUCAACACAUCCGAACGUUGUAUAAUUCGGGGUUUCAUACCCUUAGAACAGCAUUUAAAAUCAUUAUUCACCUCGAACUAGCCCGAAAAGCUACUCUGCAACACGCUUGCCUCUCGAACCAACUUCUGAGUGCUCCAAAUCUACCAAGUUCAGAUUUUUAUCAUCAAAUUAUGCUAAACGAAUGAAUUCCAAUUGAAAAUAUCGAUUUUAAGCACAAAACCCGAAAUCAGUCAAAACCCGACACCCGAGCCCGUAUCCCGGAACUGGACAAACUUUAUACCAAAAUAUUCUUCAUCAUUUCACGAGUCUGUACAUAUAAAGAACUCGAAAAUCGGAGUUCUUUUGACCCCUCAAAUCAUCCUUAGAAUGUAUCAUAAUCUCAAGCCCUAACUCCACGUUUUUCUACUAAUUUUCAUGAAUUAAACACUGAUAUUUUUUUCCUUAAUCACAAAUAAUCGAGUUUUAGGAUCCAAAAUCCUUACCUCAAUAAAGAACAAUGAUUUCCUCUCUUCAAAAUCGCCUCAAAGCUCUUUUCCCGUUCAAAAAUGGUGUAAAAGGGUUUAAUGGUCGCGACGGGUUUGUUUAACUACUGCUCACGCGUUUACUGUUCACCCGAGUACUGUUCACCCGAGUUACUGUUUAUGCUGCUGUGAAAAAAAAUGCAGCAGCUUUUCUUCUAGUCUAAAUUGAUCCGUUAACCUUUCCAGAUCCACCCGAAGCCCUUGACAAUCUCAACAAUUAUACCAACACGUCCCAUAACAUCAUUAGAACUUAGUCGAGCCUUCGAAACACCAAAAACAACAUCAAAAUCACAUCAAAUUCAAGCCUAUGAACUUUGAAAUUCCUAAAUUCCACCAACGACGCCGAAACUAUCCAAAACAACUCUGAUUGACCUGAAAUUUUGCAGACAUAUCCAAAAUGACAUUACGAACCUGUUCCAAUUGUCGGAAUUUCAUUCCGACCCCGAUAGCCUAUUUUCCACUGCCGACCAGAAAUCGCCAAAAACUAACUUUCGCCAAUUCAAGCCUAAUUCUACACCGGACAUCACAAAAAUAUUCCAUACACACUCCUAAGUCCCAAAUCAUCUAACGAAGCUAUCCGAGCCAUAAAAUCUACAUUCCGAGGUUGUCUACUAACAAGUCAAAUCUUGGUCAAACCUUUCAAAUUUUAAGCUUCAAAUUGAGAACUGUUCUUCCAAAUUCAUUUCGAUUACCCUGAAAACCAAAACCGACGAUUUACAUAAGUCAUAAUACAUCACAUGGGGCUAGUCAUGCUCGAGAACUGGCCAAAAAAGUGCAAAAGCUCAAAACUACCGUUCGGGUCGUUACAUGUUCAUAUUGUUGAUUCCCUUGCUGGGAUGUUAUUGUUUAUAUUGUUGAUUCCCUUGCCGUGAUGUAUUGUUUCUUUUGUUUGGGUGGGGAUACUAAGAGAUCCCCAGCACACUAGGGAUACCAAGAGAUCCCCAGCACAUAUAUUGAGGAUACCAAGAGAUCCUCGGGAUACCAAGAGAUCCCCAGCACAUAUAUUGAGGAUACCAAGAGACCCUCGGGAUAUCAAGAGAUCCCCAAUACAUAUAUUGAGGAUACCAAGAGAUCCUCGGGAUACCAAGAGAUCCCUAGCUCAUAUACUGAGGAUACUGAGAGAUCCCCGAGUAUUUACGUUUGGGACUACGGGACGAGAUCCUGGGAGAUCCCCUGUCGAUAUUCUGUAAGUGUAAACUCACGAAGGGUGAUGUCGUGCACUUUCUAUUUGUUGCAUUUAUUUGUUGCUAUCAAUUCAAGUAUUCUAACGGUUUAGAUCCCCUUAUUGCUAUGAUUCUUUGUGUUGGAACCCAUAGUGUUGUCAAUACCUCGCCGUAUAUAUAUAUAUAUAUAUAUAUGUUUUUCAAUACCUCAAAUUUCAAUAAUUUCUACAUUUUUGAUUCAAUUAGUUUUUCAAUUAAAUUUCCUUAAAUCGUCUGAGGUUUUAUUCUACUUAAAAAGGAAUUUCUACUAAGUUGUAAUUUAUUAAAUCCCAUAUUAAAGGUAAUAAUUCAUUCGAUGUUGUAAUUUAAUUGAAAAUGAUAUUUUCUUUAUUCAAAUAAUUUCUAAAAAUAACUUCAUCUUUUCUUGUCGAGUUCCUAAUUGGCUUAGAAGUUGUACUCUACUUUAUGUUAUGUAAAUGAGACUCCUUGAACAUAUUAAUUGCAUUGGUUAUGGACCCUAUGUACUGAGUAACAUGAGAACAUUGUUGUGCAAACUGAGAUAGAAAUAUGUAAGCACAAGGUGUCGGGUGUGCUAAAGGUUUGGUAAUUGAGGUUAUGAUAUGAGACAUCGAGUUUGAGAUGGAUGGAAUUGUGCAUCAGAAAUGAUAUGAUUUAUUGAGCUGACAUCGCCUUUCUUGUUUGAGUACAUUUUUUUCUUGUUUGUGUUCCAACUAUGUUGGUAUUAAUUUAUUUGGUUAUCUUUCAUUUUUAUCCGUGAUUCCCUUUAUCGUUUCUACUGUUUGUAUUUUGAUUUCUCUCCGAUGUUGAUAUUAUCUCGUUAUCUUUAUCUAGAUAUUUCACUAUCAUAUCUUGUUCAUUUCAUUUGACCAGUAGGUGUUUGGACUGUUCCUCGUCACUACCCCACCGAGGUUAGUCUUGAUACUUAUUAGGCACUGCCGUGGUGUGCUCAUACUACACUUCUGUACAUUUUUGUAUACAGAUCCAGGUAUUAAUCGAUAAUAGCUAUGCGGAUGGUCGCGGUGGAGACUCACGGCAACCUGUUGCUGAGUUCGCAGGCCUCGGAGUCACCUUUGUUUGUAUUUACGUUCCAUUGAUUCCUUCUCGUUCUGGAAUAGUAUUGUAUUUAUUUUAUAUAACUACUCUUAGAAAGGCUUAUGACUUGUAUCACCGGUUUUGGGGAAUUGUGAUUUAUUGAGAGUUAUUUAAUUUGAAGUUAGUAAAUGCUAAUGUUAUUUCAGUAAAUGCUAGGCUUACCUAGUUUAGAGACUAUGUGCCAUCACGACUCCUUUGGAGGGAUUUUGGGACGUGACACCAACUUGCUGAACAAUUGGAAUAAAAAUAAAAAGCUAGCAAUUUUUAGUCCAUAUGAAUUUUAUUGGGUCAAACUCUAGGCCCAUGUCCUUAAGUAUCCAGACUCAUAUGCACAACCCUAUUUGGGUCGUUUACAAGUCUGGCCCAAUUCACCUUUUAUGCACAAUUCAACACUAAUUCUGAAAAUACAACAGUAGUGACUUAAAUACGACAUUGAGCAUAGAGUCAAAUUAACAGAUUUAUCACAUUGUAACACAAGGAAAUAUUAGUACCCAAAUCAUGUUCCUAAUCUAUGAAAUCUGAACAGAAUAACCAACUAUUAAUACAUGCUUUCGUGCAGAUACGGGUUAGGGAACAAAGCUGGACCUUAAUUGAAUCACAUGAAAGGUCAUUGGGCCUAAAUUGAGGCCCACAAUGUUUGAUUUAGUUCCUACUAGGAUGGGCCUUUCUUGUUUCAGGCCCACAACAUGGAAUACAACAGAGGGAAGCAUGUUAUUACCUAUUUAGUCACCAUAUCAAAAGUAAUUAAAUCAAAAUCAUACAAAACCCAAUCAACAAAUCUGCCAGAAUUAUUACAAUGAUAAUCAUACGUGAAAUUUACAAGUAAAAUUAGUCGUAAAACACUAGAUUUUAUAAGCCAUAUUGCUUUUUUCCACUUUGCAUUUGCUUAACCUUGUACCAAAAUCAUAAAUCUAACCUGCUCAGACACAUGAAUACUAGCCAAUUUAUGAAUUCUAUAAUUUCAAACUCAGUUGUCUGUACAGAUUCCAUUUCAAGCUGUGAUACUGCCCUAAGGACAUACGUCUAGUACCACACAAAAAGGCUCAUAUUCAGGGAAACAACAAAAAUCCAAUAUUUGUAAUUUAAGCAAGUUGAACAUACACUUUUAUUCAGCACUUGAAAUAACCAAAAUAAUAUGCAAUCCAAAUCAACAAACAAAUUUAGCCAACCAAUAUAGAACAUGUACCAAUAAACAGAAUGCUCAUACAUCCAGCAAAUAACAAUAUUUCCAAACAACAUGUGAUAGUCAUGGUAUUCAAAUAGCUUCCUACAUUACUUGGUCUACCAAUACAUACCUUAAUUAGCAACCAAGUAAGAAGAAAAAUAGGCUUCUAGACAAACUAGAAGAAUAAAGCAGGCAGAAACAACAGCAAAUCAGUAGAAGAGCAGCCUUGAAAUCCCAAAAAUAAGCUUGAGCUUGAAUCCAAACUUAACUUUAGAAAACCAGAGUUGAUCCCAAAACAAACUUUUUAAACCAUUUUUUUAAAGGAGCUAGACUUGCAAAAAGAAAAUGCUAAGGUCACAAUUCUGCUUUCAAAGCAGUCCUAAGAUGAAGAAAAGAAAUGGAAUUUCAGAGAAGAUUUUAGGGUGUCAUUUUCGUCCCAUUUGAGAGAGAAGAAGGUCCUAUANNNNNNNNNNNNNNNNNNNNNUCAACAAUUCUAGACAGCUGGUGCUUUUCUAAAACCUUUUUCUUAGGCUGGGCCAAUGUCAUGGCCAAAUGGCCCAAAACAAUCCCAAAUCCAGUAACAAUUCAGGCCCUGACUGAUUGGGCCUUCACUGUCCAACCCAGAACUAAACAUUCAAAGUAAAAUGGGACAAAUUACUACCAAAUGAUUCAUUUGAACAUCUAAAGCUAAUUAGCACACAAUUAACUAACAAUCAAAUCCAGUUAAUAAAAAUAAACCUAAAAUAUAUGCAAAUUAAAGACUAACUAGUUAAACUAUUUUAAUUCAACCUAAAACUUAUGCCAUCAACACACUAAGACUAACUUAAGUAAAGGAAUAAAAAAACAGGAUUCAAAUAAAGAAACAGAAUCAAGAGGAAGGAGAGGGAGGAUACUUAUUUGGUCGGAAUGAAUCGACGAGUCGAAACGACUCGAUGAACGAAGAAAGUGACGAGUUUGGGCCGGGCAGCGGUGGCUUGGUUGGAAUCCAACGGUUCUCGAACAAACCAAGACUAACAUUAAUCAACAAGAACAAUUGUUUAACGUAAGUCUUGAUUCCAAUCGAGCCUUGAACACAUGAAUGCCAAGAAGAAUCGGGUUAGGGGUGACUUGGUUUUUUUUUCUUCUGAAAUUCGGAUUUGAGAUUGACGAAAAUAGAAGGGGAUUUUGGGGAAAUCAAUGAUAGAUUAGUAAUUAGGGGAGUAUAGGGAUUGCAUGGUGUUAAUUUGGGCGAGUUUUGGAGCGUCGCAACCGGCCGAUGGAUGUGGGAUUUAGGGGCAUCUAAGUUAGGGAUUUGGAGAGAGAUGGGGAAUGGGG